rnacentral:rRNA from 1 species
AUUGAACGCUGGCGGCAUGCCUUACACAUGCAAGUCGAACGGCAGCACGGGUGCUUGCACCUGGUGGCGAGUGGCGAACGGGUGAGUAAUACAUCGGAACAUGUCCUGUAGUGGGGGAUAGCCCUGCGAAAGCCGGAUUAAUACCGCAUACGAUCUACGGAUGAAAGCGGGGGACCUUCGGGCCUCGCGCUAUAGGGUUGGCCGAUGGCUGCUUAGCUAGUUGGUGGGGUAAAGGCCUACCAAGGCGACGAUCAGUAGCUGGUCUGAGGGGACGACCAGCCAGCCUGGUACUGAGACACGGCCCAGACUCCUACGGUGGGCAGCAGUGGGGAAUUUUGGAGGAUGGGCGAAAGCCUGAUCCAGCAAUGCCGCGUGUGUGAAGAAGGCCUUCGGGUUGUAGAGCACUUUUGUCCGGAAAGAAAUCCAUGGCUCUAAUACAGUCGGGGGAUGACGGUACCGGAAGAAUAAGCACCGGCUAACUACGUG